ACCUUCGUGGUGUAGUGGUCAGCACUGUGGCUGCGUAUUCCAGAGGUCCGUGGUUCGAGUCCCAGUGAAGGUG
rnacentral:tRNA from 1 species